AGGGUUUGAUCAUGGCUCAGAACGUACGCUGGCGGCACGCCUAACACAUGCAAGUCGAACGAAGUAGCAAUACUUAGUGGCAGACGGGUGAGUAACAUGUAGGUAUCUGCCCUUUGGCCUGGAAUAACACGAGGAAACUUGUGCUAAUACCGGAUAAGUCUUUACGGAGAAAGCUUUAUGCACCAUUGGAUGAGCCUGCACUUGAUUAGUUUGUUGGUAGGGUAAUGGCCUACCAAGACUGUGAUCAAUAGCUGAUUUGAGAGGAUGAUCAGCCACAUUGGGACUGAGACACGGCCCAAACUCCUACGGGAGGCAGCAGUGGGGAAUCUUGCACAAUGGAGGAAACUCUGAUGCAGCGAUGCCGCGUGAGUGAAGAAGGCCUUUGGGUUGUAAAGCUCUUUCGUCGGGGAAGAAAAUGACUGUACCCGAAUAAGAAGGUCCGGCUAACUUCGUGCCAGCAGCCGCGGUAAUACGAAGGGACCUAGCGUAGUUCGGAAUUACUGGGCUUAAAGAGUUCGUAGGUGGUUGAAAAAGUUGGUGGUGAAAUCCCAGAGCUUAACUCUGGAACUGCCAUCAAAACUUUUCAGCUAGAGUUUGAUAGAGGAAAGCAGAAUUUCUAGUGUAGAGGUGAAAUUCGUAGAUAUUAGAAAGAAUACCAAUUGCGAAGGCAGCUUUCUGGAUCAUUACUGACACUGAGGAACGAAAGCAUGGGUAGCGAAGAGGAUUAGAUACCCUCGUAGUCCAUGCCGUAAACGAUGUGUGUUAGACGUUGGAAAUUUAUUUUCAGUGUCGCAGCGAAAGCGAUAAACACACCGCCUGGGGAGUACGACCGCAAGGUUAAAACUCAAAUGAAUUGACGGGGACCCGCACAAGUAGUGGAGCAUGUGGUUUAAUUCGAAGAUACGCGCAGAACCUUACCAACACUUGACAUGUUCGUCGCGACUCUAAGAGAUUAGAGUUUUCGGUUCGGCCGGACGAAACACAGGUGCUGCAUGGCUGUCGUCAGCUCGUGUCGUGAGAUGUUGGGUUAAGUCCCGCAACGAGCGCAACCCUCACUUUUAGUUGCCAUCAUUAAGUUGGGCACUCUGAAAGAACUGCCAGUGAUAAGCUGGAGGAAGGUGGGGAUGACGUCAAGUCCUCAUGGCCCUUACGUGUUGGGCUACACACGUGCUACAAUGGUAUCUACAACAGGAAGCAAGACUGCGAAGUUAAGCAAAUCCCUAAAAGAUACCUCAGUUCGGAUUGCACUCUGCAACUCGAGUGCAUGAAGCUGGAAUUACUAGUAAUCGUGGAUCAGCGUGCCACGGUGAAUGCGUUCCCGGGUCUUGUACACACCGCCCGUCACACCAUGGGAGUUGGUUCUACCUUAAGGCAAGGCUUUAAACCCUUGACCACGGUAUAGUCAGCGACUGGGGUGAAGUCGUAACAAGGUAGCCGU
rnacentral:rRNA from 1 species